AUGCUUAUUUUGUUAGCAUUUAUCUUAAAAUUAGAUUGUUCCAGAGAAGAUUAGCAUGUUCUGUGUACAAGGAAACUCAGAUCUAAUUUCAAAUUUCUCCCAAUUUU